CCCCACUGACAUCCCACAGGUACCCCCAUACUCCGACUAUCCAGCCCCACUGACAUCCCACAGGUACCCCCAUACUCCGACUAUCCAGCCCCACUGACAUCCCACAGGUACCCCCAUACUCCGACUAUCCAG